rnacentral:tRNA from 1 species
GCCCCCGUAGCUCAACAGGAUAGAGCGUUGGCCUCCUAAGCCGAAGAUCCAGGUUCGAGUCCUGGCGGGGGCA